AUGGUUAAAUACAUGUUUGAUUUUGUAUCACUGUGGUACACGUUCAGUGGAGGAACCAAAGUGGAAUUUGGAAGUGAUGCUCGUCCCACCCUGACGGUGCUGCCUCCCUCCAGGGAGGAGCUGCAGCAGGAGAAGGUCACGCUCACGGGUCUGGCCAACAAGGGCUUCCCCUCAGACUGGACUCUGUCCUGGAAGCUGGACGGCAGCGGCAGCAGCAGCAUCAGCGGUAGCAGCAGCUGGGAGGAGAGCAGGAGUCUGGCGGUUCAGGGUCCAGACGGCCUCUACAGCUGGAGCAGCAGCCUGGGGAUCCCUGCAGAGCAGUGGAGGGUGGUGGGCUCAGUGAGCUGUGAGGCCUCCCAGGGCUCCCUCAGUCCGGUCACAGAGACCCUGAGACCAGACCGUUGUUUCUAGUCCUGACCCGACUCCUUGUUUUUCACUUUGCUGCUGCUCAAUUUGUUCUCUGCUUCUCUGUCUCUUUCUCUUUGACAUGUUUGUAUGAUUAAACUGACACAAUAUCAUAAAAUUCCGUCUUUCGUUUAGGCAAUAAAAGUCUGUUUCUAAAAUGUGUGUUUCAUUGCUUUCUUGAUUAAUUGAUAUCGUAUAAAGUACUUAAUAGAAAUAUGAUGCAAUGUAUUUUUUACAGCUUAUUGAACAUGGACAUUUAGAUUUUUAUACUUUGCUACAUCUGAGAGAAGGCGAAACAACCACAGAGGAAAGAGACACAGAAAUAAUGACUUGUAGAUCAGUGGAGGCUUGUUGGUGGAGAGAAGGAGAGAAACAGAGCAGAUCAGUGUGUCAAGGAUUCCUGUUUCUUUCUGCUUUUAUUGGUGAUUUAAGAACCAAGACUUGUUUGUUGUGGUUUGUUUCUUCAAUUCUUGGUUUGUAUAAAAAUUUUACUUAUGCUAAAAAAUUGUUAGUUCUGUCACUUGCAGCUGAAACAAUAAAAAUAACAUUAAAAUAAUUAAUUGAAUCCACAAUUUUGUUUCACUGUUUAACUUCCUGUGACUCCGCUGACUAAUAAAGUCUUGCAUCUUCAGCCUGAAAUCUGAUGGAC